GUGGACUUGACGCAUGCAAAACUAGACGAACUUAGCUCACGUAGAAUUAGGUGAACCAUGACAUGCAAAACAAGGUGGGCUCCACUCACAGUGCUCAGAACACGAGUUGGGUUCCACCCACGGAAUUUGAAGCAAUGAAUAUGAUAGUUUGUUGUAGUGGUGAUAGAAAUGAAACUACUCGGGACACGUGGAAUCCCAUGUGAAUCAGCAAGGACCACCUUGCAAGGCAAAAGACUCUUGGGUGACAGAUAAUGAAGUGGUACUAUGAGGGAAGGGUGAAAAGAACCCCCAUUAGGGAAUAGGGAGUGAAAUAGAACAUGAAAC
rnacentral:rRNA from 1 species